GAAAGAUAUUAAAUGACUUCACUGAAUUCUUUCCAACAUAAUAUACUACCCAGUGGGGUCACCACCUCUACUCCCCAUAGCCAGACAUGAGAUUCUAAGGCAUUCAUGUUAGUAAGGACUGUGAGCAUCCUGAACAUUCAGAGGCACUCUAAUAAGGCACAUACUUGUUCUUCAACAAUUUCCUAAUUUGGUGACCAUAUGUGCAUUACACUUCUGACAUCCUAAAGCUUAGACAACUGCACAGCCUGCUGAACAGACUGCAGAGAACUUAACUAGUAGCACUUCUACAAAGUAAACAAAGAGUCUUCUACCCCCAAGUGCAUGGGGCCAAGGGAGCCAGGCAAAGGAAUGGGGUGAUUUUAGAUAAGUAAGACUGAAAUCUCUUUGGCUUUCCUCCUCCCUUCUUCCUCUCUCUCUUUGGCUUAUUUUUCUAUUUCCAUGAUUCAUCUGGUUCUGAUAUCUACAAUUGAUUUGAUGUAACUAAUAUUCUAAAGGUGUCACCUUUCCAAGGCUAUCCAUAAUAUGAAAGGAGAUUCAUAAAGAGGAGGAGGUAAGGAAUAACUUGGCAAAUAAUUUCUGGAAGAUUGCCCAUCCCUGAUGGAAGCAAGUCUGACUUUCUUCUCCCUCUCCCCAAAAUAUUAGAGAAAGGGUAAGUUUCUCUUAUAAGCUUUUCCACUAUUCAAUUUGUCUCCUUUAAUCCUCAUUUUAAUCUUUGGCUUGCUUCUUCUCACAAAUUGUCCCUUGAGAAGCAAAUUAGAACAAGGAUAGGCCCUGUUCUAGAAAUAUGCUCAAAUUUGGGAAGACCUAGUUAGGAAUAGGUAGGAGCCUUGAUAUAUGCAAAUACCUGAUACACACGGGCAUAUAAGACCAUAUGUGUGUUCAAUGGUGAGUCUCUGUGUGGAGUAGAGGAAGGUAGGAGGAAGAGACCAGGGAGAAUGAUGAGUAAUGAUAGUUCUACAAUCGUUUGGAGACUAGAAUUAUUACAUUGCUCUUUCCUCAGGCUCCCCAUGAUUUGAGCAAUGACCUCAUAUUAGCUACACUGUCAUAAUGGCUUUUGGAUACUCAGAGUGCAGACACAGCUUCUCCUAGGAAUUUAUUACCUCUCUCAAAAAGCUAUCUGGGUGUCCAUGAAAGAUGCUGGCACUAGUAUUAAUUCUUUUUUAAAAAACUACCUUCUCCUUGAAGUAAACCAAAAUGGAUAAAAAUCAAUGAAUUCAUAGAAAAGAAAAUUCAUUAAGAUUGAGGGAAUAUUUAAAAUCUCAUAGCAUAAAGCUGUGAGAAAUAUAUGCCUAUUCACCAUCCCCAACAUGGAGAAAUUGCACAGUUGGAAAGAUAAUUAACACACUUGUAGUUCAUUGCCUGUAACAUAGGGUCAAUUGUGGCUGACAGGCCUAAGAUAGGAAAUAUAGCUAUGCCAACUCAUUUUUUUUUUCCUUUCU
rnacentral:lncRNA from 1 species